ensembl:lncRNA
GAUGGAGUCCCCUGACUGACUAACAGACAGGUUGAUACAGAUGGAGUCCCCUGACUGACUAACAGACAGGUUGAUACAGAUGGAGUCCCCUGACUAACAGACAGAUUGAUACAGAUGGAGUCCCCUGACUAACAGACAGAUUGAUACAGAUGGAGUCCCCUGACUAACAGACAGAUUGAUACAGAUGGAGUCCCCUGACUGACUAACAGACAGAUUGAUACAGAUGGAGAACCCUGACUGACUAACAGACAGAUUGAUACAGAUUGAGUCCCCUGACUAACAGACAGAUUGAUACAGAUGGAAUCCCUGACUAACAGACAGGGUAAUACAGAUGGAGUCCCCUGACUAACAGGUUGAUACAGAUGGAGUUCCCUGACUCACUAACAGACAGAUUGAUACAGAUGGAGUCCCCUGACUAACAGACAGGUUGAUACAGAUGGAGUCUACUGACUAACAUACAGGUUGAUACAGAUGGAGACUACUGACUAACAGACAGGUUGAUACAGAUGGAGUCCCCUGACUGACAGGUUGAUACAGAUGGAGUUCCCUGACUCACUAACAGACAGAUUGAUACAGAUGGAGUCCCCUGACUAACAGGUUGAUACAGAUGGAGUUCCCUGACUCACUAACAGACAGAUUGAUACAGAUGGAGUCCCCUGACUAACAGACAGAUUGAUACAGAUGGAGUCCCCUGACUAACAGACAGGUUGAUACAGAUGGAGUCCCCUGACUCACUAACAGACAGA